UGCGGUGGUGCCACUGCCCCUGUCCACCAUGCUAUAUUAUAUAUACAAUUCCUCUAAUAUUAAUAUAUAUAUACAGAGAGCUUCCAUUGAGGGAUCCCUCAAAUAAGCUUAUUUGAGGGACACCCCUUGUAGGCCCCACUCCGGAUUGUAUUUCACUAAUCCAAACCGUCUAUUUUGUAGAUACUCAUUUAAAGAUCAUCUCUACAAAAAAUCACUUGAAUCCGAUAUCAUGUGACCACUCAAUUGAGUUAUUGAAAUUUUAGUACUUUCUUAA
rnacentral:lncRNA from 1 species